AGAUCAGACAUUCAAACAACUAGCAACACAUUUUUCAACACCAUUAACCUUUUCAACAGGCUAAUCAAGAUGGCCCGUACCCAUGUUUUCCUGCUGCUGGCCUUCAUGGUGCUGCUGUCAAAUGAGGUAGGGAUAAUUGCAUCAACAGAAAGUAGCAGCAAUAUUGAUGCAGAUUGUACCCCGGCGGUUAUUAAGUUGGGUGACAAUUGUAUCCCGAAGGACUGCAGCCACAACUGCAUUGCCCUCGGAGCUCGUAGUGGAAACUGCAUCGAAGGGCCAGCAUGCAAUUGUGUUUUCUGUGGACCCGGGAUUGCACCACCUCCGCUACAAUAGGAUUCUGCUGCAUGGUUGCUGAUAUUUAGAAACUUCUGCUCAUGGACUCGAUGUACACUAACAGUAACAACGCUGGAGCAAGUUAAAUGGCUAGAAUAAAUGAUUAGUGAUUUCUUAAA